rnacentral:antisense_RNA from 1 species
GCGGAAGCCGCCGGGGCCGCCUAGAGAAGAGGCUGUGCUUCGGCGCUCCGGCUCCUCAGAGAGCCUCGGCUAGAUGUGGAAACAGGAAGAGAACUAGAACUGGAAGUAAGGCAUUGAAGAUGUGACUGAAUUGCUGCAAUCUCAUGAUCAAAUUUGAAUGGAUGAGGAGUUGCUUUUUAGGGAUGAGCAAAGAAAGUGGCUUCUCGAGAUGGAAUCUACUGGUGAAGUUGCUGUGAACAU